rnacentral:rRNA from 1 species
GUUGUAUGGUUAAGUGACGAAGCGUAUACGGUGGAUGCCUUGGCAGUUAGAGGCGAUGAAGGACGUGUAAGUCUGCGAAAAGCUGUGGUGAGCCGACAAAAUGCAUUUGAGCCACAGAUGUCCGAAUGGGGAAACCCACCUGUUUACAGGUAUCGUUACAUGAAUACAUAGUGUAACGAGGCGAACGAGGGGAACUGAAACAUCUAAGUACCCUUAGGAAAAGAAAUCAAUUGAGAUUCCCCUAGUAGCGGCGAGCGAACGGGGAGCAGCCCUUAAGCUGUUUAGUGUGUAGUGGAAUCCUUUGGGAAGAGGAGCGAUACAGGGUGAUAGCCCCGUACACGUAGCGUGCUUUACAGUGAAAUCGAGUAGGUCGGGACACGUGUUAUCUUGACUGAAUAUGGGGGGACCAUCCUCCAAGGCUAAAUACUCCUAACUGACCGAUAGUGAACCAGUACCGUGAGGGAAAGGCGAAAAGAACCCCUGUGAGGGGAGUGAAAUAGAACCUGAAACCGUAUACGUACAAGCAGUGGGAGCCCCAUCACUAAGUGCCUUUAGUGAUGUGACUCACAAAGCAUAAUAGCCAGUUUGAUUUAACGUCAACGUUGACCUGCGAAGCAGCCAACGGUAAACCGCAAAAAAUCAAGCAGGGUGCUUAGUGAUGGGGUGACUGCGUACCUUUUGUAUAAUGGGUCAGCGACUUAUAUUUAGUAGCAAGGUUAAGCGAAUAGCGGAGCCGUAGCGAAAGCGAGUGUUAACUGCGCGUUGAGUUGCUAGGUAUAGACCCGAAACCCGGUGAUCUAGCCAUGGGCAGGUUGAAGGUUGAGUAACAUCAACUGGAGGACCGAACCGACUGACGUUGAAAAGUCAGCGGAUGACUUGUGGCUGGGGGUGAAAGGCCAAUCAAACCGGGAGAUAGCUGGUUCUCCCCGAAAUCUAUUUAGGUAGAGCCUCGGACGAAUUCCAUUGGGGGUAGAGCACUGUUAAGGCUAGGGGGUCAUCCCGACUUACCAACCCUUUGCAAACUCCGAAUACCAAUGAGAACUAUCCGGGAGACACACGGCGGGUGCUAACGUCCGUCGUGGAGAGGGAAACAACCCAGACCGCCAGCUAAGGUCCCAAAAUAUUGCUAAGUGGGAAACGAUGUGGGAAGGCAUAGACAGCUAGGAGGUUGGCUUAGAAGCAGCCACCCUUUAAAGAAAGCGUAAUAGCUCACUAGUCGAGUCGGCCUGCGCGGAAGAUGUAACGGGGCUAAGCAAUAUACCGAAGCUGCGGCAGCACAGUUUACUGUGCUGGGUAGGGGAGCGUUGUGUAAGUGGAUGAAGGUGAGUUGUAAAGCUUGCUGGACAUAUCACAAGUGCGAAUGCUGACAUGAGUAACGAUAAUGGGAGUGAAAAACUCCCACGCCGGAAGACCAAGGUUUCCUGUCCCAUGCUAAUCAGGGCAGGGUAAGUCGGCCCCUAAGGCGAGGCAGAAAUGCGUAGUCGAUGGGAAACGGAUUAAUAUUUCCGUACUUGUAUAAUCAGUGAUGGAGGGACGGAGAAGGCUAGGCAAGCUUGGCGUUGGUUGUCCAAGUGAAAGUGAGUAGGCUGCGUAUUUAGGUAAAUCCGGAUACGCUCUUUAAAAGAGAAAGGCCGAGACACGAGACGAGCUCCCAAGGGAGUGAAGUUGUUGAUGCCCUGCUUCCAGGAAAAGCUUCUAAACUUAUGAUUAUAUGAACCGUACCCCAAACCGACACAGGUGGUCAGGUAGAGAAUACUAAGGCGCUUGAGAGAACUCGGGUGAAGGAACUCGGCAAAAUUGUACCGUAACUUCGGGAGAAGGUACGCCUCUGUUUGUGAACACUUCGCGUGGUAAGCAAAUGGAGGCCGCAGUGACCAGGUGGCUGGGACUGUUUAUUAAAAACACAGCACUCUGCAAACUCGUAAGAGGACGUAUAGGGUGUGACACCUGCCCGGUGCCGGAAGGUUAAUUGAUGGGGUUAGCGUAAGCGAAGCUCUUGAUCGAAGCCCCGGUAAACGGCGGCCGUAACUAUAACGGUCCUAAGGUAGCGAAAUUCCUUGUCGGGUAAGUUCCGACCUGCACGAAUGGUGUAACCAUGGCCACGCUGUCUCCACCCGAGACUCAGUGAAAUUGAAAUCGCAGUGAAGAUGCUGUGUACCCGCACCUAGACGGAAAGACCCCGUGAACCUUUACUACAGCUUGGCACUGAACAUUGAACCUACAUGUGUAGGAUAGGUGGGAGGCUUCGAAGCACAGUCGCUAGAUUGUGUGGAGCCGUCCUUGAAAUACCACCCUUGUAUGUUUGAUGUUCUAACAUUGGUCCCUUAUCGGGAUUGUGGACAGUGUCUGGUGGGUAGUUUGACUGGGGCGGUCUCCUCCCAAAUAGUAACGGAGGAGCACGAAGGUUAGCUAAUCACGGUCGGACAUCGUGAGGUUAGUGCAAUGGCAUAAGCUAGCUUAACUGCGAGACAGACACGUCGAGCAGGUACGAAAGUAGGUCAUAGUGAUCCGGUGGUUCUGUAUGGAAGGGCCAUCGCUCAACGGAUAAAAGGUACUCCGGGGAUAACAGGCUGAUACCGCCCAAGAGUUCAUAUCGACGGCGGUGUUUGGCACCUCGAUGUCGGCUCAUCACAUCCUGGGGCUGAAGUCGGUCCCAAGGGUAUGGCUGUUCGCCAUUUAAAGUGGUACGCGAGCUGGGUUUAGAACGUCGUGAGACAGUUCGGUCCCUAUCUGGUGUGGGCGUUGGAUGAUUGAUGGGAGCUGCUCCUAGUACGAGAGGACCGGAGUGGACGAACCGCUGGUGUUCGGGUUGUCAUGCCAAUGGCAUUGCCCGGUAGCUACGUUCGGAACGGAUAACCGCUGAAAGCAUCUAAGCGGGAAGCCGGCCCAAAGAUGAGUCAUCCCUGACCUUUAAGGUCUGGAAGGGUUGUUAUAGACGAUGACGUUGAUAGGCAGGGUGUGGAAGCGUUGUAAGGCGUUAAGCUAACCUGUACUAAUUGCCCGAGAGGCUUAACCAUACAACGCCUAA